UACGAAGGGGGCUAGCGUUGUUCGGAAUUACUGGGCGUAAAGCGCACGUAGGCGGAUAUUUAAGUCAGGGGUGAAAUCCCAGAGCUCAACUCUGGAACUGCCUUUGACACUGGGUAUCUUGAGUAUGGAAGAGGUUAGUGGAAUUGCGAGUGUAGAGGUGAAAUUCGUAGAUAUUCGCAGGAACACCAGUGGCGAAGGCGGCUAACUGGUCCAUAACUGACGCUGAGGUGCGAAAGCGUGGGGAGCAAACAGG
rnacentral:rRNA from 1 species